CAAACUAUGCGAACAAAUUAUCAUAUCAUUUUCUAUUUUUACAAAAAUACAACACCUGAUUGAAUGAAGCUACUGAUACAGAUACCAUUUAAAUUAACGAUACUUCUUUUAAUCAGUAUUGAAGUUUUCAAAUGAUAAAUGUAUGUCUCGUAAAGACAUACUUGAUAAGAUAAUUUUAUCCGAUUAGAUAAAAAAUUGGAGAAAUCACGGGAUAAAGAUAUGUGUGAUUGAGUCGUUAAACGUGAAAGCAGAGCGCAAAAAGUUGCCCAAGACAAAAACUCAAGUUUGAAAUGUGAAAUUUUAAUUUAUAUUUAUGAAUAUGUAUAAGAUAGGGAAGAUUCGGUGCAAAAAAGUUUGAGAUUCGAUUUUUAAAGUAACAUUUUAAAAAAAUCAUUUGAUGCGCCUAGUAAAACAAGACUAAUACGUCUGUGAAAAUAACGUAACAGAUCGUGAUAUAAAAUGGGUCUAUCGUGCGGCAAGGAGCAGUUUGACGUCGAUAAAAAUACGGCGUUCACGUCCCAAAGCGACGGCUUUUACCGGACUUUCGAGCAUUUAAGCUACUGGAACGUGAUAAAGAAUGGCAAAGGACACACUGAACCUGAAAGUUCUGUGGAAAACCGAUCAGUAGCUUCAACCAUACGAGUUAAUGGUAAUGGAAAAUCGGAGAGUUCCUCAACCAAUGAGGAAGAAUCAAAAAGUAACACGAUGAAAACUAUAAAUGAAUAAGUACCCAAGACUUUUUUUGUAACGCAAACGCUUUUUUAUGAUUUUCUUUGUACUCGAAAAUAAAAUGUAUUAUUUCUGAAAA